ensembl:lncRNA
AAACGAAAGUCUGGAUGAAAAACGGAUCAACUGACGAAGCUUAGUUUCACUGAGAUUUAAAUGGGUGGAGAUCAGUCAGUCUGAGCUUAAACAGACAUAAAGCAACCAAAUAUGACAUAAAAGAGCCAAAAAUAGACAGAAAAUGACUUCAGAGAGACACAAAUAACCACAAACAAAAUGACUGGAAAAAUAUACAAAUUAACCACAAGAGACAGAAAAUAGUGACAAAGAUGCACUAAAUAACUACAAAAAUGCACUAAAUAGCCACAAAGGCUCAAAAUAAACAAGAAGAGGCACAAAAUAACCACUAAGAGAGACUAAAUGAGUACAAAGACACAUAUAGCCACAAAAUGACUACAAAAAGACCCAAAAUAACCACAGGGACACAAAAUGUGUACACAGAGACACAAAAUGACUACAAAGAGGAACAAAAUGACCACAAAGACACACACUAGGCACAAAGAGACACUAAUAGCCACACAAUUACUACGAAAAGACACAAAAUAGCCACAAAGAUGCACAAAAGAACACACAGAAAAACACAAAAAACCCACGAAGGGGCACAAAACUGCGACAAAGAUGCACCAGAUGAGUACACAGACACACACAGUAGCUACAAAAUGCAAAUUGACUGCAAAAAGACACAAAAUUGCUCCAAAGAGAGACAAUUAACCACAAAGAUGCAAAAUGAAAACCAUAGAAACACUCAAAAUAAUUACAGAGACACAAAACAACAAGAAAACAUUUAACAGAACGACAAUGAUAAGACACAAAAUAGUCACAACAAGACAUAAAAUAUCCGCAGAGACACAAAAUGGCCAGGAAAGAUGCUAAAUGACCACAGAAAGACACAAAAUGACUUCAAAGGGGAACAACAUGACCACAAAGACACACAAACUAGCCACAAAAUGUUUACAAAAAGACGCAAAAUCGCUCCAAAGAGACACAGUCAGCCACAAAAAUGCAACAUGAAAACCACAGAAACACUCAAAAUAAUUACAGCAACACAAAACAAUGACAAAGAAACAUGAAACAACCAAAAAAUUUGACACAAAGCGACAAAAAUGAGACACAAGACACAAAAUAACUACAAAAAGACAAAAUAUGCACAAAGAGAUACUAAAAGACCAGGAAAGAUGCUAAAUGACCACAAAAAGACACACAAUACCCCCAAAGAUGCACAAAAAACACAAAAUAUCCACAAAGAAGCACAAAAUAGCUAAAAAGAUGCAGACCCAGAUGAGUACACAGACACACAAAGUAGCUACAAAAUGCAAAUUGACUGCAAAAAGACACGAUAAAGCAGAAAGACUGACACAAUCAGUCACAAAGAUGCAAAAUGGAAACCACAGAAACACACAAAAUCAUUACAAAGAGACACAAAACAAUAAGAAAGAACAAAAUGACCAAAAAUUGAUUCAGAGCAGCAACGAUAAGACACAAAAUAGUAACUACAAGACACAAAAUAUCCGCAAAGAGACACAAAAUGGCCAGGAAAGAUGCUAAAUGACUACAGAAAGACACAAAGAUACAAAAUGAUUUCAAAGGGGAACAACAUGACCACAAAGACACACAAACUAGCCACACAAUUUCUACAGAAAGACACAAAAUAGCUCCAAAGAGACACAGUCAGCCACAAAGAUGCAACAUGAAAACCACAGAAACACUCAAAAUAAUUACAGCAACACAAAACAAUGACAAAGAAACAUGAAACAACCAAAAAUUGAAUCAGAGGAACAAUAAGACACAAAAUAGCCACAAUGAGACAUAAAAUGUCCACAGACACAAAAUAGCCAGGAAAGAUGCUAAAUGACCACUAAAGACACAAAAUGACUACAAAGAGGUACAAUAUGACCACAAAGACACAAACUAGCCACAAAGAGACACUAAUAGCUGCAAAAUGACCACAGAAACACUAAAUAAUUACACAGACACAAAACAACAACAAAGAAACACGAAACAAUCAAAAAUUGACACAAAGCAACAAAAAUAAGACACAAAACAGCCAUAAUGAGACACAAAACAACAACAUGUAAGCAUGAAAGAACUACAAGGAAACACACAGAGACCACGGGGCCGGUCUAAAGGACUUAAUGUGUUGGCUGUUGGACAGAUGAAGUUGUGGCCUGAUGAACGUUUGUCUCCUGAAUGUUCGGCUGCAGCUUUUCAUCAACAGGUGGAGAUGAGUCAGCGUAGCUCUAACGGCUCCAUUAGCCCUUCAGCUAAAUGACUGAGCUGCGUGUUAAUGGAGCACGAUGACAGUGACGGCUUGAAUUAUUAUCCGCUUAAACAGCAAACAGGGGAGAGAGAAUCUGAGAGAAUCCAUCUCCUUCCACUUCCCACUUUGUCUGCUUUUGUUUGGAAAUGUGACGGCGAAUUUAGCCGAACCCAUCAAGACAAGAAUGAGAGAGCAGCGAGAGGAAAGAGAAGGCGAGACAUCAAUUAAGCCUCCAUGGCUAAACACAGCAGGCAGAGCUGCAGGCCAACUGCAUCCAGCAGCAAUAUCAAAAGAGCUCGCAGAGACAUUUUCAUUUAUCCCACCUGAGAGGGAAGAAAAACACAGUUUGGAGACAAAACAGCAAUACAAAUGCUGUCAAAUCAGACAAAGCAGAGACACAAACGUGGCACACGAUGCCUUAAUCGAAUGUGAGAAAACAGUUGUGUGAUGAGAUGGAGGCUUUUAUUUUGAAAUGACCAUAAAGACACAUAAAUUGACCUUAAAUAAACAAAAAAACUGACACAAAGUAACACAGCAUUACUACAAAGAGAUGUUAAAUGACCACAGAGACUCAAAAUGACCACAAAGGUACUACAAAAGACACAAAAAACAACCACUAAGAGAAACAAAAUGACCACACAGAGACUGAAAAUGACCAGAAAGAGGUAUAAAAUGACCAUAAAGUGACACAAAAUGAUCACAAAAUGAGCACAGAGAGACACAGAAUGACUAUAAAGACACAUAAAACAACUGCAAAAAGAAGAAAAUGGCAGCAGAGCGACACAAAAUGACAAAAAUAUGGCAACAAAAUGAACACAGAGACAUAAAUCAACUAGAAAAAGACACAAAAUUCAUACAAAGACACACAAUAUGACUUAAUAUAAAUGCAAAUUAUCACUAGACCACCACUUGGAGAGGCCAAAUAAACACAAAGACACAAAAAACAACAACAAAAUAACACAAAAUAACCACAAAGAGACACAGAGUGACCACAAAGGGAUGUAAAAUGACCACAAACAGACACAAAAUGACCAGAGACAGAUGCAAAAUGGCUGCAAAGACACAGAAAAUAACUACAGUAUGAGCACAAAAAGACAUAAAAUAAUUAUGGAAGUGCAAAUGAUCAUGAGACAACCACUAAGAGAAGCAAAACAACCACAAAGAAAAACAAAAUGACAACAAAGACACUAAAAAGGACCACACAGAGGCACAGAAUCAGCAUAAAGACAUACAAAAGAACUACAGAAAUGCAAAAUGACCACAAAGAGACAAAAAAAAUCCAGAAAAAGACACGAAAUGACCACAAAGACACACAAAUAACCAAAAGAGACUCUAAAUGAAUGCAAAGAAACACAAAAUGACCAAAAAGACACAACAAAGAAACUACAGUGACAGCAAAUGACAAGAAAUAGGCUCAAAAUCACAACAAAGAGACUAAAAGUGACUAGAAAGAAGCAAAACAACUACAAAGAGACACAAUCAGCAGAACUUUUUUUAUACAGAACCUUUCUUUAAAAUCGGAUAUAAACGGGAUGAUAAAUAUGGAGAGUAAAACUCACCAAGAUACAAUUAAAACAACCAAAUAUAUCAAAGUGACCUCUGGGUUUUAAAUGAAUAAAACUGGUAAAGAAAGAACUGACAGAGUGAAGCAGCAUUAAAAGAUCAUUAACUGGUGAGGAACAGAAUUAAAGAAGGCCAUGUAGGAUUUUUCUUUCUUUUUUUUUUUCAACAGAAAUAAAGUCGUCUCUGGGCCUCCGUACUUUUCUCCUCGGUUGAUUUCUUGGUCUGAUCUGAUCCCAGAGAUGUUUGCAGAACGGAACAGCAGCUGGUAGGGAAAUAAUAUUCUUCUUCACGUUUCCAGCGUGCAGCACAAGUUAGUGUGUCUGAGCCCUUUAAUUCUGCAGUCUGCCUUUCAGCCAUGUGCAUCCUGCUCCUCUUCCUCCUCUUCCUCACCCAGUGUUCCUCCCACACCUUCAUCCCUCCCUGCUUGUCCUCCUCUUCCUCCUUGCCUUAUACUAAGCCUGUUUACAUAGGAUUAGAAACUCCAGCAGCUCCGACGCUGCUGUUUUUACCCUUUAAGGGAGUCGGACUGGAUUUGUGUUUUCUGGUGUGUGUUUUCUUUUCUGUUGUGUGUGUGUGUGUGUGUGUGUGUGUGUGUGUGUGUGUGUGUGUGUGUGUGUGUGUCUGCAGCCGCUGAGCCAAACUCUGCCCUGCAGCUACUGCUUCAACAAACUUUUUGUUUCUAAGCUCUGUACUUAAAGGGAAAAUCCACCCUGAGUCACAGUCAGAAUAACGGACACCAGGAGACCCCGGGGCCAAAAAUACCACACAGACACACAACGUAACUACAGUGGGAUGCAACACAACAAAGAGAAUACAGUGACGGUAAAGAGACACAAAACCACUACAGAGAGACUGUGAUUCAAAGCAACUACAAAGAGACCAACUACUAAGAGACAAAUGGCCAUAAGGAGACACAAAAUGACAAAACACUAAAUGACUACAAAGAGACGCAACAAACCACAAAGACACAGAAAAGCAUUACAAAAAGACUCAAAACAGCUAUAUGGUAGUGUCACGGCAACAAAAAGAGACAAACUGGCUACAAAGAGACAACAAAAUACCAUAAAGAGACAGAAAAUGACCACAAAGAGACACAAAUGACCCAAAAGUCCCACAGAAUUACUAUAGACACAACUACAGUGCAGUGCAAAGCAACAGCAAAGAGACUAAAAAGGCUGAAAAGACACAAAAUGACCACAAAAGCAACUCUGGUCUAAUGCAAAGCUGCUACAAAGACUCUAACUACAAAGAGAUUUUAAAAAUGUUCGUAAGGAGACAUAAAAUGACCACAAAUUACUACAGAGACACUAAGCUACUAUAGUGUGAUGCAAAACAACAACAGAGAAUAAAGUGACCACAAAGUGACCAAAAAUGACCACAAAGUGACUCAAAAUGACUACAGAGACACAAAAUGACCACAAAUAGGCAAAAAAUGAUCACAAAAUGACUAAAAACGAUUACAAAAAGACACAAAACCACAAAGAGACACAAAAUGACCACAAAGAGACACAAAAAGACGACAAAGUGACCAAAAAUGACCACAAAGAGACACAAAAUGAUCACAAAAUGACCACAGAGAGACACAAAAUGACUAUAAAGACACAUAAAACAACUGCAAAAAGACGCAAUACCACCACAAAUAAACACAAAACUACCACAAAUGGACACAGAAUGACCACAAAGAAACACAAUUUUAUCACAGUCACUCUAGUAUGAUGCAACAGAACUACAGAGACACUCAACAACUAUAGUGUGAUACAAAAGAGCUACAUAUAGACAAAAGAAACUACAAAUACAGACACAAACCGAUCACAGAAACAAACUGACAACAAACAGACGCAAAAUGACCACAAAGCAACACAAAAUCACUAGAGUGAGACACAACAGAGAGACUUGUUGCCCCUUUUUAAGGUGGAUUUUCCCUUUAAGGACAGGGUUGCGUUGGAGUUGUGUGUCUCCAGAUGAAACUGUGAAGUCUCCUGUUUUAAAAGCAUUUUCUUUUAUUAAUGAGCCGUUUUGAAAAAGUGUCACAGAAACAAAUUAACUGGUGUAAAUCUGCGCUUUUUCCAAGUUUCGUACGGAUCGCGCGUCUUUCUCUCUGCAGUGUUUCAUUUAUCUGGUGACAUUCUUUUGCAAGUCGCAACACAACAACAAAAAAACGUAAAAAAUGCAAAGCAGACGAUGGAAACGAGGUCUGUGGUGUUUCUCAGUCUGUAUGUUAAUGUUGUACUUUAUCGAUGCAAAGUUUUUAGUUUUGAUAAAGAAUCUGAGUCGGCGCUUUGUGGACACGUGAACUGUUUCAUCUUUUCCCUGCAAAAACAAACCAGAGAAACAAAACUAGAAUGAAAAUAAAUUCAAAAUCAAAUGAAAUUUAAACACAGCUGAAGUCAAAACAGAAAGAAAAGAAGAAAUAUUGGCACCAAAAAAAAUCUAAUUUCCAAACACUAAAGACUAUUUGCAUGUUUUAAAAUGAAUUUUUAAAAGAUAAAAGUUACAUUAUUACCUGCUAGAAUUCAGAAAAAGUAGGCAAAAGAUAAAUAACUUCAGCAUUAUUGAUUAAACAGUUAUUUAACCCUUAGAUGCACAAGUGAUUGGACCCUACACUCUUCCUUAAGUGACCUGUAUAAGAAUCAAUGUGUUUUUAUGUCAUUUUUGUCAUUUUGGUUAAGAAUAAUAAUUUACAUCAUUGUUUGUGUUAUAUUUUUGUCCACACAAAAAUGAUUUCAUGUUUGAAAUAUGUUUAUUUUUCACUUCACUAACAGAUUUUGAACAUUCUGAUGAUUGAAAAGAGCAGCAAUAGAAGGAUGUCAGCAUCCAUUUUGUUGACAUUUUUCCACUCUUUUCCUCCAGCUGUUGCUGCUCUCUGUCUCUCUAAUUUUGUGCAUCACCUCUUGUAGGAUAUUAUCAGUGAUAAGGAACUUGGAGUAGUGAUAUAAAAAUUACGAUUUCUUUCUAAGUGUAAAGGUAACUUAAACAUUUUAAUGUUGUGCUUUGAAAACAUGUUUUUUUAGGAAUAGCUGGAAUGUGAAAUGAUAAAAUCUUUUCGUUACGAAGAUAUUGCAAGAAAAUGACCUCACCGGCUCAUUUUUCAACCCACUUAUACAUCUAAGGGUUAAAAUAACUAACUAAAUAAAUAGCAAAAGCUAAAAUUUCACAUCAUUGCAGCACAAUGAAAUGCAAAUUUAAUUUCAAAACAAGACUGGAAAUAAAAUGCAAGUGAUUUCAAAACGUGAAAUGGCUAAAAAUUAUUUCAGUGGUUUUGAAAUGUUUUAUCUCAAAGCUGUGGAACGCAGUGACUCUUUUUUAAUGAUUUUUUUUUUUAUUUUUGUGCUCUUAUCUGCAGUUUUUUCUCAGUGCAGGUGACGUGCAGGUUGUGUGUUUGUUGUGUGAUCAGAGCUCCUCUAUAUUUUCUUAGUGGUUGAAAGUUGUCGUGUCCAAACUGAAGUGUAGAUUUUUCUUGCUGCCUUCUGUCUGAGCUCCUUUGCGAGUCCGUGCUCUUGUUUUGUAAAGAAAUAAAACUCACUGUUGGACCAAAACG